UACGUAGGGUCCGAGCGUUGUCCGGAAUUAUUGGGCGUAAAGGGCUCGUAGGCGGUUUGUCGCGUCGGGAGUGAAAACACGGGGCUUAACUCGGUGCUUGCUUUCGAUACGGGCAGACUAGAGGCAUGCAGGGGAGAACGGAAUUCCUGGUGUAGCGGUGAAAUGCGCAGAUAUCAGGAGGAACACCGGUGGCGAAGGCGGUUCUCUGGGCAUGUCCUGACGCUGAGGAGCGAAAGUGUGGGGAGCGAACAGG
rnacentral:rRNA from 1 species